rnacentral:rRNA from 1 species
AUUGAACGCUGGCGGCAUGCUUUACACAUGCAAGUCGAACGGCAGCGCGGGCUUCGGCCUGGCGCCGAGUGGCGAACGGGUGAGUAAUGCAUCGGAACGUGCCCUGUAGUGGGGGAUAGCGCGGCGAAAGCCGGAUUAAUACCGCAUACGACCAGUGGGUGAAAGCGGGGGACCGAGAGUCCGAUCGCUAUUGGAGCAGGCGAUGUCGGAUUCACUAGGUGGUGGGGUAAAGGCUUACCAAGGCGACGAUCCGUAGCUGGUCUGAGAGGACGACCAGCCACACUGGGACUGAGACACGGCCCAGACUCCUACGGGAGGCAGCAGUGGGGAAUUUUGGACAAUGGGGGCAACCCUGAUACAGCCAUGCCGCGUGAGGGAAGAAGGCCUUCGGGUUGUAAACCGCUUUUGUUCGGGAAGAAAUACUCUGGGCUAAUACCCCGGGGGGAUGACGGUACCGGAAGAAUAAGCACCGGCUAACUACGUG